rnacentral:rRNA from 1 species
UACGAAGGGGCGAGCGUUGUUCGGAAUUACUGGGCGUAAAGGGCGCGCAGGCGGCUCUGAAAGUCAGAUGUGAAAGCCCCGGGCUUAACCUGGGAAUUGCAUUUGAUACUCUGGAGCUUGAGUGUGGGAGAGGAGAGUGGAAUUCCCAGUGUAGAGGUGAAAUUCGUAGAUAUUGGGAAGAACACCGGUGGCGAAGGCGGCUCUCUGGACCACAACUGACGCUGAGGCGCGAAAGCGUGGGGAGCAAACAGG